UACGUAGGUGGCAAGCGAUACUCGGAAUCACUAGGCGUAAAGCGCAGGUAGGCGGUUUGGUAAGUCUUUUGUGAAAGCUCCCGGCUUAACUGGGAGAGGUCAAGGGAAACUACCGGACUAGAGUGUGGUAGGGGAUACUGGAAUUCCUGGUGAUAGCGGUGAAAUGCGUAGAUAUCAGGAGGAAUACCUAUGGCGAAAGCAGGUAUCUGGGCCAUCACUGACGCUGGAGCUGCGAAAGCUAGGGGAGCAAACAGG
rnacentral:rRNA from 1 species